UAGGGAAUCUUCCGCAAUGGACGCAAGUCUGACGGAGCAACGCCGCGUGAGUGAAGAAGGAUUUCGGUUCGUAAAACUCUGUUGUUAGAGAAGAACAGCGCAUAGAGUAACUGUUAUGCGUGUGACGGUAUCUAACCAGAAAGCCACGGCUAACUACGUGCCAGCAGCCGCGGUAAUACGUAGGUGGCAAGCGUUGUCCGGAUUUAUUGGGCGUAAAGCGAGCGCAGGCGGUCAAUUAAGUCUGAUGUGAAAGCCCCCGGAUCAACCGGGGAGGGUCAUUGGCAACUGGUUGACUUGAGUGCAGAAGAGGAGAGUGGAAUUCCAUGUGUAGCGGUGAAAUGCGUAGAUAUAUGGAGGAACACCAGUGGCGAAGGCGACUCUCUGGUCUGUAACUGACGCUGAGGCUAGAAAACGUGGGUAGCAAACAGG
rnacentral:rRNA from 1 species